AAUCCUCUCCCCUCCCAAUUCAUCAAGCAACAGACCAGUGACCGGCGACCAGCAACCAGAGAGACCUCCGAGCAGUGAGCUACGACUUCAACCAUUGACAAGCUACGAAUCUGAGUGCGGCGAAGGGCUCUCAUUUAGGUCUUUCUGAUACCUUUGCUGGUUUUCAUGGCAUAAAGUUCGGUGAGAUCAUCUCCAAUGAGUCAGGACCAAUAGGGGGAAGGGAAAAAACCCCUGAGAGAA